GCGGCCUCCCAACAGUCAGUACCUUCCGCUCUCUGCCUGUAUUCGUUCUUUGUGUUGUGUUUCUGUGUUGUACCCCGCCACACACCUCAAUAUAUGCAGAAUAUGAAGAUAGAUGAGUGGGGAAGGUCGACCUAGAGAAGUUGUCUUUAACAGAUGCUGACGUCAGAGGAGUGUCGCUCUCGAUACAAUUUGCAACGAAGCUCCAUUAAAAGAUCCCACUGGCAAGCUUCUAAGAAAAAUGCAAACGUUUCGCAAGAUUAUUCCAAGAAUAUAAAGAAGAUGUAAACUGUGAAGAGAAUUACACUCGCACUUGGUCCUCUCUCUCUUUGUCAUUAUAAAGCUUCUACUCAUUUCAUCCUCAUUGUAUCAGCAGCCAGGUACAAAAUGGAUGAUAUCUGUUUGGAUCGUACAUAAAGGUAGUAUCACUCAGAACUUGUUUUCACUACGGUAAAGAAAAUACGAUUAGCCAAAAAUAAUUUUAACACUGAGGUAGGUUAUAUUUAUUACUUUAAUUAUAAAAGUCUAAGGAUAUCAAUAGAAUAGUUUCGUAUGUAAUAAUUAAAUGUUAUGUAUAUAUCACAUAUAUUAGCUUUUAUUAUUGUAAAAUCUUCUCUAAUCUCUUACAACCUUCUAAAAUGUUUUUAGUUUACAAAAUAACAGGUUUCCCUACCAUUGAUAAUGUUACAGAAAUAGAAAACACUAUAUAUCCUUUUCAUCAAGUUUGAAAAGAACCGUAAGACACAAGUUUAAGGCUAGACAAACAGUCACUGCACUUGUUCAGUGCAGUGAUGGUUGUUACUUGCUCCGAAUACCUUAGAACCCCAGUUAUAUCCUUCAGGCUUCAUCAAUUCAAGUUCAUCACCACAUAUUUUCUUGUUAUUUUUAUUUUAUUUUAUACGCUUAACCUUAUGCCUUAAGAUGUUUUUGAUACCUGAUUAGUGUCAUGGAUUCCAAUUCACGAAACAGUGUUUUAUUUUUGUAAUACUAUAUAUGCCAAAUAUUUUCGAAAAUCUGUUCGUCCUAUUGUCAU